AUGUCCUUGCUUUCCUUCCCUGGAGGGGCCCAAACUCGCCCCCCCCCCGCCUUCCCUCCCUCCCCUCCAGAGGCUGAGUGGGAGGAGAGAGGCUGUUCCCUUACCGCUGUCCUUUACGGCGGUCCCCCAGUCACUCCCCACCCCAAGCCUCCCUUCCAGUCUAGGGGCCCUCGGGCUCCAGGCUGGGCCGCGGCAUCCCUCCCUCCUUCCCAUCCCCACGGGCGUCGGGUCCAGGUCCCCAGAUCUCCAUCCAAACAGCCUCAGCAUCCCUGCGCCGCCUCCCUCCGCCACGCCAAAUCUGCAUCCCGACCUUGCCUCGGUGCCCGGAUCCCAGGACCCAGACCCGUGCCUGCCCCCCACCCCCCACCACUCGGCCAGGCUCUCACCUCGGGGGCUCCUCGGCCGCAGCACAAAAGGCGGCGCUGCUGCAGCUCCGCUCCGGAUGCUGCUCCCGCCUCCUCCUCCUUCUCCUCCGCCUUCCCGCCUCCCCCCGCUGCCCUCGACCGGACUCGGGGCGCUGUCACGGCGAGGCUCGUGCGGGGUCCGAGCGCACGGAUGUCAGCCCCGGCUUCCGGCCCCCACCCCCCGACCCCUAGCCCCGUCCCCACUCGGCUUGAACUCCCGCUCCUUCCGAGGCCCCCGCCCCUGGCCCCCCGGGACGGACACGCCCUGAGCGGGGGAUGCAGCGCUGGAGCCGCCGGCCUCUUAAAGGAGCCCGCUGCUGCCAUCCGGCGCGCUCCAGGCUCGUCCCCGGCCCGCCCGUGCCCCCUGCCUGCCCGCUGGCGGUGUCCUAGGGCUGUCCCACCUCGGGCCUCUUGCGGAUCGCUUCCUGCCCGCCGCGAGAGCAGUUCCUCGGAUGGGAUCCCCAGCGCUCCGACCCGGCUCUCCGUCACACACAUCGAGCCAGCUCUGCCUCCCCUAACUGUCGCCACUCCAGUUCCACCCAAUUGGAAUCCUUUCAGUUCUGGGCCCCAUGCCUUUCCAGUGUUCGUGGAUGACCCCUUAUUAGCAUCCCAAGCUUCCUCUGGGCCUUUGACCCCCCAGCUCCGGGGCAAGACAUCUUUUCCCAGACUCAUUCCCAGAACACUCCUUAGAAUUUGGGGGGGGGGGGGUGGUGGUGCUAUUUCUCUGGCCAAGGUCACACGAUCUCGCUUUCAUCUUUUAGCCCGGGGGUGGUUGUGA
rnacentral:lncRNA from 1 species